AACGAACGCUGGCGGCAUGCCUAACACAUGCAAGUCGAACGAGACCUUCGGGUCUAGUGGCGCACGGGUGCGUAACGCGUGGGAAUCUGCCCUUGGGUUCGGAAUAACUCGCCGAAAGGCGUGCUAAUACCGGAUGAUGUCGUAAGACCAAAGAUUUAUCGCCCAGGGAUGAGCCCGCGUAAGAUUAGGUAGUUGGUGAGGUGAAGGCUCACCAAGCCGACGAUCUUUAGCUGGUCUGAGAGGAUGAUCAGCCACACUGGGACUGAGACACGGCCCAG
rnacentral:rRNA from 1 species